UACCUACGGGAGGCAGCAGUGGGGAAUUUUGCGCAAUGGGCGAAAGCCUGACGCAGCAACGCCGCGUGCGGGAUGAAGGCCUUCGGGUUGUAAACCGCUUUCAGCAGGGAUGAAACUGACAGUACCUGCAGAAGAAGCCCCGGCUAACUACGUGCCAGCAGCCGCGGUAAUACGUAGGGGGCGAGCGUUAUCCGGAUUCAUUGGGCGUAAAGAGCGCGUAGGCGGACUGUUAAGCGAGAUGUGAAAACCGGGGGCUCAACCCGCGGCCUGCAUCUCGAACUGGCAGUCUUGAGUCUGGUAGAGGAAAGUGGAAUUCCCAGUGUAGCGGUGAAAUGCGCAGAUAUUGGGAGGAACACCAGUGGCGAAGGCGGCUUUCUGGGCCACGACUGACGCUGAGGCGCGAAAGCUAGGGGAGCGAACAGGAUUAGAUACCCUAGUAGUC
rnacentral:rRNA from 1 species